CAGGGAGAAUAGAUAAGACAGGAGUGAGAAGGCAAAAAGAGGCCAAGAAAUAAAGGAUAGAGUAGGAGUCUAAUAAAAUGGACUUUUUAGAAUGUUUUCAGAAUAGGUAAGUUCUAAUAUUUUCUUUGAAAUUAUCUGCUGAAGAGUUGUUGAUCCUCCUCCUUACCCCUCCAGUCUUCAUUAAGAGUCUAUUUGAAAGAGCUGACUCAUAUUUGGGGUUACGAGUUAAGAGCUAAGAAGAAGGGGCUCUGUCUUUAAAGAGAAGAAGAAAGUGCUACACAGUGUUGACUGGAGACUGAGAAUUCAUCUGAGGCUGAAAAUUAGAUCAAGAGAUGGCUGAAAGACAAGUAAGCCCCUGGGACUUCAUAGCCAUCAUGGAGAAGAACUAAGGGAGAAAAAAAAGGAUAUGCUAAAUUACCAGAGUCAUCAAGAUGGGAUGAGCUGAUAUAGCUGUGGCCACAUCUGGGCCAUUUUACAACAGUAAUGGAUGAGGCUAUAGGGAGAUCAAGGUCACAAACCAAUGAUGUGAGAGAGCUGGAAUUUGAGCUCAGGCAUGUCUGAGUCCAAGGCUCACCCUCUGUCCUCUCCAUCACAGGGGAUCUUUCAGAAUGCCUCUCCCCUAGACUGUAUAGAUGGCCCACAUCUACUUCAAAUUAUUGUCUGAGAUAAGAAAGAUGCCACCCUGGAAUGGCAUCUCAGUCAAUCCAUACUGAAGCUCCUUGACAGGCCCAGGGGCCUCCUCUGGCACAGGAAGACCUUAUAUCUAAUUUAUGCCUGCAUUUUGCUAUUUGUUUUCUAUGUGUCUCAUGUCCUUUUUGUUCCUCUAUCUCACCUUUUCUUUAAGUGGGUAUUUUCUAGCAUACCAUUGUAAUCCCUUUGUUGAUUUUUAACUAUUUUUAGAGUUAUUUUCUUAGUGAUUGCUCUAUUAUAAUGGGUACUUUAUCACAAUCUACCUCAGAUUAACGCUAAGUUAAUUCCAGCAUGGAAUU
rnacentral:lncRNA from 10 species